AUUGAACGCUGGCGGCAUGCCUUACACAUGCAAGUCGAACGGCAGCACGGGAGCAAUCCUGGUGGCGAGUGGCGAACGGGUGAGUAAUAUAUCGGAACGUGCCCAGUCGUGGGGGAUAACGUAGCGAAAGCUACGCUAAUACCGCAUACGAUCUAUGGAUGAAAGCGGGGGAUCGCAAGACCUCGCGCGAUUGGAGCGGCCGAUAUCAGAUUAGGUAGUUGGUGAGGUAAAGGCUCGCCAAGCCGACGAUCUGUAGCUGGUCUGAGAGGACGACCAGCCACACUGGGACUGAGACACGGCCCAGACUCCUACGGGAGGCAGCAGUGGGGAAUUUUGGACAAUAGGCGCAAGCCUGAUCCAGC
rnacentral:rRNA from 1 species